rnacentral:misc_RNA from 1 species
GAAGAUACAAAAUGAUGUAAUCUACAUAGAAAAAAAAAACAAUUAUUAUUUAGAAAACUAACAAAAAAAUGAUCACAAACGCUUCCUGGUUUGUAAAGUACCAGAAGAAUGCAGUAUAGUCAUAAGAGUAUAUAUUUCAUCUACAACUACUCUUUAUCUUAUGAACACCAAAUUAGAUGACAUCCCUUUAAAGACAGAAAAUAUGCUCUGCAGUAAGAAAUCAUAAGUUGUGAAUGCUUGUCUUUAAAAUCCUUUGCUGUUAAGAAACAAACAUAUAAAUAAAUUUCAACAGUAGGCCACUGCACUUGAUGCCUCAAAUAUCUGCCAGCAUGAAACAAAAUGACAGUAAACAGUUUUGGUUCUUGCAUAC